GUGAAUCAUCGAAUCUUUGAACGCAAAUUGCACUCUCCUCGGAGAGUAUGCCUGUUUCAGGGUCAGCCUAUAAAAAAUCGACAUCGCUGCUGUUUUGCGGUGGCGUUCGUCGGAAAUUGGGUCAUCUUAAAUCUUUUGGUUUUACUCGACUUAAAAUUCUCUAUUUUGUUCUAUGACCGUUUCUAAGUU
rnacentral:misc_RNA from 1 species